ensembl:miRNA
AUCCCAGAGAAGAAGGAAGAAGAGGAAGCAAUGGCUGGUUCUCAGGUGAAUGUGUCUGGGUUUAGGGGAUGUGUCCUCUUUUCUUCUGGGAU